rnacentral:rRNA from 1 species
UACGUAGGGGGCAAGCGUUGUCCGGAUUCAUUGGGCGUAAAGAGCGUGUAGGCGGCCAGGUAGGUCGGUUGUGAAAACUGGAGGCUCAACCUUCAGAGGUCGACCGAAACCAUCUGGCUAGAGUCCGGGAGAGGAGAGUGGAAUUCCUGGUGUAGCGGUGAAAUGACGCAGAUAUCAGGAAGAACACCCGUGGCGAAAGCGGCUCUCUGGAACGGUACUGACGCUGAGACGCGAAAGCGUGGGGGAGCGAACAGG